UUCUGUGUCUUGACAUUUUGGCUAAGAUCAAGUGUAGUAUCUGUUCUCAUCAGCUUAAGUCUGGUAUGUCCUCUAUCCAGGCUUCCCAGGUGGCAAUAGUGGUAAAGAACCCAU
rnacentral:snRNA from 1 species